rnacentral:lncRNA from 1 species
UAUCAUUUAUGUAUUACUUGAUAUCAUUCAUAAAGUUUUUCCGAUGAAACAGUAGUUUAUAUGAUAAUGCAGCUGCUGCUUCGGCGUCUUGUGGUGUAGACAGGGGAAGGUGCGAAACUUCUCUUCACUUCGGACAACGGGUUAUCAUAAUAUUUUCUUUUCCACGAGCCGGAGUAAACCAUGACCUUGGUCACAAAAUCCUUUCCUCCCAAGACCAUAACAGAUUCCGCGGCUGCAAAAGUCACUUCUUUUGAUGAAAUAUCGAGAAAGCGAUUGCCGGUAUCUUUUCCAGCACAAUAUGCAUCAUUGCGAAAGAAACACUUGUGUUCCAGGAAUGAAGGGGAAAGUGCUUCACAAUAAGCGACCAAUGUGCGAGUGUCAUGGUCGCUCAAGCUGUAGUAGUUGCUGUAGUCCUUGU